rnacentral:rRNA from 1 species
UCAAACUUGAGAGUUUGAUCCUGGCUCAGAACGAACGCUGGCGGCAUGCCUAAUACAUGCAAGUCGAACGAGAUCUUCGGAUCUAGUGGCGCACGGGUGCGUAACGCGUGGGAAUCUGCCCUUGGGUUCGGAAUAACGUCGGGAAACUGACGCUAAUACCGGAUGAUGACGUAAGUCCAAAGAUUUAUCGCCCAGGGAUGAGCCCGCGUAGGAUUAGCUAGUUGGUGGGGUAAAGGCCUACCAAGGCGACGAUCCUUAGCUGGUCUGAGAGGAUGAUCAGCCACACUGGGACUGAGACACGGCCCAGACUCCUACGGGAGGCAGCAGUAGGGAAUAUU